rnacentral:pre_miRNA from 1 species
AUGUUACUCCCUCCGUUCGGAAUUACUUGUCGUAGAGAUGGAUGUAUCUAGAUGUAUUUUAGUUCUAGAUACAUCCAUUUUCGAGACAAGUAAUUUCGAACGGAGGGAGUAGAUG